UGGAAGAUUUUGUAUUCUGUCUCCACAUACAAGCAUUGCACAGUCCAUCUUUUUCAGCAUUCUCUGUGGGCUGACUACCGUCAUCAAGAGCCACCGGAUCAACUGAAAUCAGCAUGAACAGGAAGAUGAUGACUACAGAAGCAGGUGACAGCGGAGAGGAAAGUAAGCAAAAGGUGAAAAGAAAACCGAAAUGUUCCUGGAGUCUCCCCUCACCAUGUACUUGGGCUGUGCCUGCAGUUCGAGUACAAGGGCAAACCUGGCAGGGGAUUGCCUCACCUCAGGAGCUAUGGGAGAUAGUAAAUUUCUGCAUUCUUCUUCAAGGUCUGUUAAGAUAGCUGAAGAAAAACAGCCCCAAGUCACAGGAGGAAAGGAGCAUGAUCCCCAAACCCAGGCGUGUGACUUGCCCCAUCGUUGUCCACGGCGUUUUUUCGAAACACAGUGCAUGACAGGUCCCGCUCCGUGGUCUUCUCUCUACCGAAGGCAGGGAUGGGCGGGAGGGGGGCAGCCUGCCAAACCUGUACCCCGCUUGGCUGUGCAAAAUGAACUUUGUACCAGGUUAUUUGGAGUACACAAAUCUGACGAACUGCAAGCAAGUAGUUCAUGACUGUUCCUGAAGUUUUAACAAAACUACAAAACAGUAACAAAGGCAGUAGAAGGGCAAGGAACUGGAAGAAGCCUGUCCAAAUGGACCAGCACUGCCCAGUUUCAGUCAGUGCUGAAUUACUGAGCAGUCACGUCUAACAUGUGAUUCACGCUGACAGGAGGACUUGCUCAGAGCUGGCAGUUUUCAUUGAGUGGCCUUUGCCCUUUUGCCUCAACCAGGAGCUUCUUCCAAAAAUAAUUUCCUGAAUAUAAAUGCCCUGCUGCGGUGGCUGUUACUUGGUGCAUAACGUUCAAAGAACCAAACCUUUGGUUAGUUAAGAACACACAAAACCCGCAACUUCUCAUAAUAAGGAACACUGAGCACAGGGUAAGGGCAGUCUGCGUUUGCAGGGAGGUUUGUGUCUGACCGCACGGGCUGUCUCCAAACCACCCCCGAGCUGCUAGGCAGGAGGAGGGCUGGAGCCACAUGUCCAUGUUGCAUCUCGUGGACAGCUGAUGUUCAGGCUCAGGCCUUCCACCACCGAACGUCAUCUCCAGCUUCAGACACAGACAGAAGCAAAAGAGCUGCUCUGAUGAUUGAGCGCUUGGCUGCUAUACGCACCACAGCAAGAGUCAGCAUUCAGAGAAGUUCCUUGAAAGCAGGAAAAUCCUUGUCGCUGCCAUGACACCAAGAUGAAGCCAAUGGUUACGAUUCCCUGGGGAGCACGGUUGACUCCUCUGUUAGCGCAAAAACCAGCACAGGUGUUCCUGCUGGUGACUGGGUAAGAUUAUGAAUCAUGCAGUGCAGCCCCUAGCCCCAGAGAUGCUGAUGCCUAUGUGGAAGUAGUCCCAGCCGUGAAGCUGUCUGUGCUGCACUGGGGACAAGGGGGAUGAUUUGUUAAAAGCAGACGCAUCGCCGCAGUGAUUAGAAAUGGCCUUAGCUUGGCAGGAAACACUUAAGAAGGCUGGCAGAGACUGCUUGGCCCUCUCAUGCAAGAUUUCUCCAGAAGUGAAGAAGCACUAAAGGAGACAUUCUGUUCCUUCGAAACACCUGCAGCCCCUGGCGAGAAGCAGCAACACCGUGCAACAAACGAGGAAACCCCUUCCAGGUUACCAAAACAUGCCACUGAACU